rnacentral:rRNA from 1 species
CUACGGGACGCUCCAGCUAAGAAUCUUCCGCAAUGGAGGAAACUCUGAUGCAGCAACGCCGCGUGGAGGAUGACACUUUUCGGAGCGUAAACUCCUUUUAUAUAGGAAGAUAAUGACGGUACUAUAUGAAUAAGCACCGGCUAACUCCGUGCCAGCAGCCGCGGUAAUACGGAGGGUGCAAGCGUUACUCGGAAUCACUGGGCGUAAAGAGCGUGUAGGCGGGUUAAUAAGUCAGAAGUGAAAUCCUAUGGCUCAACCAUAGAACUGCUUUUGAAACUGUUAACCUAGAGUGUGGGAGAGGUAGAUGGAAUUUCUGGUGUAGGGGUAAAAUCCGUAGAGAUCAGAAGGAAUACCGAUUGCGAAGGCGAUCUACUGGAACAUAACUGACGCUGGGACGCGAAAGCGUGGGGAGCAAACAGGAUUAGAUACCCUCGUAGUC